rnacentral:rRNA from 1 species
GAGUUUGAUCCUGGCUCAGAUUGAACGCUGGCGGCGUGCCUAACACAUGCAAGUCGAGCGGUAACAGGUGUAGCAAUACAUGCUGACGAGCGGCGAACGGGUGAGUAAUGCUUCGGAAUCUGCCCAAUGGUGGGGAAUAACCAGCCGAAAGGUUGGCUAAUACCGCAUACGUCCUACGGGAGAAAGCAGGGGAUCGCAAGACCUUGCGCCGAUGGAUGAGCCGAAGUCGGAUUAGCUAGUUGGUAGGGUAACGGCCUACCAAGGCGACAAUCCGUAGCUGGUCUGAGAGGACGACCAGCCACGCUGGGACUGAGACACGGCCCAGACUCCUACGGGAGGCAGCAGUGGGGAAUAUUGGACAAUGGGGGCAACCCUGAUCCAGCGACGCCGCGUGUGUGAAGAAGGCCUGCGGGUUGUAAAGCACUUUUAGUGGGGAUGAAAAGCUCAGGGUUAAUACCUCUGGGUCUUGACCUAACCCACAGAAAAAGCACCGGCUAACUCUGUGCCAGCAGCCGCGGUAAUACAGAGGGUGCAAGCGUUAAUCGGAAUUACUGGGCGUAAAGCGUGCGUAGACGGUUGCGUAAGUCAGAUGUGAAAGCCCCGGGCUCAACCUGGGAAUUGCAUUUGAGACUGCGUAGCUAGGGUGCGGAAGAGGGAAGCGGAAUUUCCGGUGUAGCGGUGAAAUGCGUAGAUAUCGGAAGGAACACCAGUGGCGAAAGCGGCUUCCUGGUCCAGCACCGACGUUCAGGCACGAAAGCGU